GUAGAUUCACUAGGUUGAUUCCUGGGAUGGCAGGGCUGUCUUACGCAGAGAGAUUGGAGAGAUUGGGCUUGUACACGCUGGAAUUGAGGAGAUUGAGAGGGGAUCUGAUUGAAACGUUUAAGAUAAUUAAAGGAUUUGAUAGGAUUGAGGCAGGAAAUAUGUUCCAGAUGUUGGGAGAGUCCAGUACCAGAGGGCAUGGAUUGAGAAUAAGAAGUCAGUUAUGUAAAACAGAGUUGAGGAAGAACUUCUCCCAGAGAGUUGUGGAGGUGUGGAAUGCACUGCUUCGGAAGACAAUGGAGGCCAAUUCUCUGGAUGCUUUCAAGAAGGAGCUGGAUAGAUAUCUGAUGGAUAGGGGAAUCAAGGGAUAUGGAGACAAGGCAGGGUCUGGGUAUUGAUAGUAAAUGAUCAGCCAUGAUCUCAGAAUGGCGGUGCAGACUCGAGGGGCCAAAUGGUCUACUUAUGCACCUAUUGUCUAUUGUCUAUUGUCUAUCAGAUUUGUGUGAACUUCUACCUACGCCAGACUGUGAAAUGGAUUAUUACACAGCAGCAAUUUUGCUCAGAAUUUAAAGUCCAGUAUAUACAGUUACACUUUGUUUUUGAUAGGGAGAUCUAAUGAAGAUUGAUGCUUUCCACUGUGCCCAGUUAGGAACGGCGUAUCAGUAUGUAAUCUAUGCUGCUAUACAAUAUUUUAUGUGAAAUGGGAAUUAGAUCAUAAGACAUAGGAACAGAAUUAGGCCAAUUGAACCAUUGAGUUUGCCCUGCCAUUCAAUCACGGCUGAAUUAUUAUUGCUCUCACCCUUUUAAAACUUAAAACAUAAGUUAAAAUUCACUUUCUGCACUGCAGCAGUUUCAGAAUUAGUUCUUGAGUAACGUUGUUAGCACAGUGUUUAUUACCCAUCCUGAGAAGUGAUGUAGAAUGUUUGUUGAUAGAACUCUUGUAGUCAUCUGAUAUCCUAAUGCUUUCCCUUCAUGUGGAAUGCAUGUUCUGUCAAUAAUAUGUAAUUAAUAUGUAGGUGUUUACAGGGGACUCAGUCCAGUACCAGAUGAUGAAGCGUUACACAUGUAUGAUGGAACCCAGCAUGUUCCUCUACUUCGAAUGAGUGACUUCUAUGGCAAGGAUGCAAUAAGUAAUGUCCAUAUCAAAGGAAUGAUGUACAAGUGGACCUUGAAAAUUGUAUUCUUCAUGGAGAUGAAACAUAUGCUGUCCUAAACCAUUUGAUUAAUGAUGGAAAGAAGCUCUUCCUCAAUACCAACAGUCCCUUCAACUUUGUGGACGUAAUAAUUUUUACCGACAGAGAUUUUCUGAAUGGCAUACCUUCUCUAGUUAAAUAUGGAGCCCAAAACUGCUCAUUAUGAGCACGAGAGGGUCCAGAGGAGGUGUACAAGAAUAAAAGGGUAAAUGUAUGAGGAGUGCUUGAUAGAAAUGGACCUGUGCUCACUGGAUUUUGGAAGAAUGAGGAGAAUCUCAUUGAAACUUCCCGAAUAUUGGAAGGACCCUGUGUGUCCUGGUGCAUAAGUUACAAAUGGCUAUUGCACCAUGUGGGAAGCAAUUCGGAAAGCUAACAAUGUUAAUUUUAUAGUAGGAGAACUGGAAAGUAAAGGUAAAGUUGAUCAUUUAGUUACUUAUGAAAUGAGAGAGACCACAUCCAGAGUACUUUGUGCUGUGCUGGUUCCUUUAGAAGGUGUAAGUGCAUGAGGAGUUCACAGAAGGUUUACUAGACUAACAUCUGGGAUAGAUGUAAUACCCAAGGGAAAGUUGGACAGGCUAGGCUUGUACCUUUAGAGUGAAGGUGACAUGAUUAAAACUUUUAAGGUUCUGAGGUCACAAGGUGCAGAUACUAGAAUCUGAAGAAACACGAUACAUGAGGAACUCUAUCCGACUCAGGAAGUAUCUAGAAGAGAAAUGGACAUUGUUUUAUCCGUUGAGACCCUUUACCGGGAUUGGAAGAUGAAACGGAAAUGACCAGUAUAAACUGAUGGAAGAAAGGGGUGGAACAAGGAGCUGCGGCAGGGGCAGUGCAGAGAGGAGUAAAUGAAAGUACAAAAUGGACAAAUCGAACGGCCAUUGUUGGGAGUGGGCCAGUGGGGAGAGUGUGAGUGACAGGCUUCUGCUCAAAGGAGGCUUUGGCUGAGGGUAACUUUCUGUUAAAUUUCCCUUUUCUCUUACUGUGUCACGGGUACUUGGUGCAGUUUAAAUGACAUUAUGUGUUCUUCAUGCCCAGAGUCUCCCAGGGAACUACAUUUGCAUGGUGUAUCCAGCUGCAGUUCCUUGAAGACCAUGUUAGGGUUCUGAAGCAGCAGCUGGAUGACCCUUAGCUUGUAUGGGGGAGUGAGAAGAUCAUCGAUCAGAGUUACAAGGAAGCAGUCACCCCCAAGUUGCAGGUGACAAGUAGCUGGAUGACUGUCAGAAGGAGGAAUGGGAAGGUGAAUAGGCAGUUAGUGCAGAGUACCGCUGUGGCCAUUCCCCUCAAUAAUAAGUAUAUCAUUUUGGAUACUGUUGUAGGCAAUGCUACAGAGACUAGGUUACUGGCACUGAGCAUGGGUCCGUGUGCAGAAGGGAAAGUGGGAGAAGAGGGGAAUGGUAGUGAUAGGGGACUCAAUAAUCAGAGGAACAGAAAGGAGAUUCUGUGCACAUGAACGGGACACCCGAAUCAAAUGUUGCCUCCCAGGUUCUAGGGUCAGGACGUCUCGGAUCACAUCCACAACAUUUUGAUGGGGGGGAGGGGAGCUGCCGGAUGUCUUGGUACAUAUUGUUACCAAUGAAAUAGGAAGGAAAAACAAAGAGAAUUUAGAGAGCUAGGCAGAAAGCUGAGAAGCAGGACCUCCAGGAUAGUAAUUUCUGGAUUGCUGCCUGUGCCACACUCCAGUGAAGGCAGAAACAGGAUGAUUUGGCAGAUAAACGUGUAGCUGAGAGGUUAGUGCAGGGGGCAUGGCUUCAGGUUCUUGGAUAAUUGGGAUCUCUUCUGGGGGAGGUAGGACCUGAACAAAGGAGAUGGGUUGCACCUGAACCUGAGGGGGACCAAUAUUCUCAUGGACAGGUUUGUUAGCGCUGUUGGUGAGGCUUUAAAGUAAUUUGGCAGGGGCAACUGGAGUGAAGGGACUCGGGAUAGAAUGGAUGGUAAAAAAGCAAAGAUUUCAUGCAGUCGGUCUGUCAGGAAGGGCAGGCAGAUGAUGGGUUCCACAUAGUCUCAGAGGGAUAAGACGGUUGGCAGAGGGGUGGCAUAGCUCUACUGGCAUCAAAUCGGUAGAAAGAUGUGACAUAGGAUUGGAAGAUGUUGAAUCCUUGUGAGCUGAUUUAAGAGACUGCAAGGGUAAAAAGACCCUGAUUGCAGAUAUAUGCAGGCCUCCAAACAGUAGCUGGGACGUGGGCUACAGAAUACAAUGGGAAAUAGAAAAGGCAUGUAAAAAGGGACUGUUACGAUAUGGAAGAUUUUAACAUGCAGGUUGAUUAGGGAAAAUCAGGUUGGAAAUGGAUCAGAAGCAUAAAUUUGUUGAAUGCCUACGAGAUGGCUUUCUAGAUUGGGUUGGCUUUCUAGAUCUGGAUUGGGUGUUAUGUAGUGAACCGGAGACGAUCAGGGAGCUUGAAGGUAAAGGAACCCUUUGGAGACCGUGAUCACAAUAUGAUUGAGUUUAACUUGAAACUUAAUAGAGAGAAGGUGAAGUUUGAUCUAGCUUUUUGCUGUACAUCCAUUCAGGGUAAAAAAAAGUUGCAUUAAUUAGCCUAUAUGCCCCAACUAUAUUCGAAGUUGAAUUUUUUCCCUCAACUCCUCACAAUUACUGAAGUUAAGUGACUACUGUUAGUUCAGACACGUUGGUUCAGACACGAAUGCUUUGGUAAACAUUAACCUCGAUAAAUCUUCUUCAACUAUAUCAAACUCUUAAGAAUCUGCUUCCUAAGCACUUAACCUUUCUCUAACGGAUUUAAAUUUAGCUGAUGUGUGGAGGGUGCAUAAUCCAUCCGUUAAAGACAAUACCUUCUUCUCCACAAGACAUAAAACUUUCUCUUGGACAGAUUACAUUCUUGUAUCCUCCGAUCUGCUGCCUUUAGUACACUCAAUAGAAUUUUUGCCCAGACAUCUAUCUGAUCACAACCCAGUCAUAUCUACUUUUAUUUAUGGCAAAAUAAAAAAUAAGGUUACUAUAUGGAGGUUUAACUCCACUUUUCUAAAAAACAACGAGUUUCUAUCACAACUGAGAACAAAACUGACAGAAUUUAUGAAUUACAAUAAAAAUAAUGUCUCAUAUGUGACAGUGAUUUGGGCCUCCAUCAAGGGUUUCUUACGAAAUAAUGCCAUAUGGUUCAGUUCCCACCUACAUAAAAGCCGGCUUCAAAAGAUUUCCACCCUAGAACAAUGUAAGGUUUUGGAGAAUGACCUGAAAAAGAGAUACACCAUAACAAAAGAAAAUGAGCUCAGAACAAGCAGAAUUAAAUGACUUAUUAAGAAGCAGGGCAGAUUAUAUGACCCAUAUAACCAAACGUAAGUAUGAUGCAGAAGGCAGCAGACUGAGCCAUCUUUUGGCACUAACGCUCAAACAACAGGAAGUGAAAAGGUCUAUGCCAGUGAUUAGAUGUGCUGAACAUGGAGUAGUAUCUUCAACAGAGGAAAUAAAGGAGACACUCGAUAAUUACUUUAAAGAAUUGUAUACAAGUGGCUCAGUUCCUUCUGAGAAUGACUUCACUGAUUUUUUUAGUGGAUUAGACCUCCCUACAUUGUCAUUAGAGGACACCAAAACUCUAGACUCUCCUAUUAUACUGGAUGAGCUACUUAAAGCAGUCAAAGCUACAAUUGGAGGCCGCACACCAGGUAUAGAUGGCAUACCUGUGGAACUUUACCUAGCACUUUGGGAUAUUCUUGGACCAGUAUGGUUAGAAACAUUAAAUGAUGCUUUUGGAAAUGGCGCUUUCCAGAGAGAUCUAAACACAGCCCUGAUCACACUUGUAUCUAAGCCUAGUAAGGACCCCUUGGAGUGUGCCAAUUACAGUCCAACCUCCUUGAUAACGCUGACCUCAAGAUAUUUUCCAGAGUCUUAGCCAGUAGACUUGAGACAGUAGGUGGGAAAAUAAUUAACCCAGAUCAAACGGGCUUUAUCAAGGGGCGUCUCGCAUCUGAUAAUAUUCGCUGGCUCUUACACAUACUGAGUGCAACACAUAAAAUCCCGCCUGCCUGUGGCCUGCUGUUUCUUGAUGCUGAAAAAGCGUUCGAUCGUCUUGAAUGGCCACAUCUUUGGAGAGUUCUUAAAGAAUUCAAGUUGGGCGAUAAAUUUAUCAAUAUGACUCAAACAUUGUAUGCUAAUCCUUCAGCCCGGGUAAGUGUGGGAGGAGGUUUCUCAGAGUUAUUUGACAUAGGACGGGGCGCAUGACAACGGGACCCUUUGUCCCCUUUAAUUUUACUAUAUCUAUUGAACUGCUUGCACAGUUAAUUAGAAACUGUCCUCAGAUCUCCCCUAUUACAAUAGGUACAACUUCACAUUCAAUAUCACUUUACGCGGAUGACACGCUAGUUUAUAUGGCAAAUGUUCAACAAACUCUCCCCUAUGUUUUAAAAACACUGGAGCAAUUUGGAUUUCUUUCAGGAUACAAAGUUAAUUUGUCAAAAUCAGCACUGAUGCUGAUUAAUACAGAUAAAAGUAAGGUGUCUCUCCCUCCCCAAAUUACGGUUACAAAUGAGAUCCGUUACUUGGGUGUUAAAGUUAAUACUUCCUUAUCAUCUGUGGCUAAAACAAACUACUCUUUAAUUUUGAAAAAAAUAGAUAUUAAUAGAUGGAGACACCUGCCAGCACCAGUCCCAGCCUGUAUAUCGGUCAUUAAAAUGAACAUCUUACCUCACAUUCAUUUUGUCAGCUCAAUGAUCCCACUUGCACCUCCAGCAAGAUAUUGGCAAACACUGGACUUCUUACUACGAUGCUAUGUUUGGAACGGUAAACAACCCAAUAUAAAGUGGUCAGCUCUACAAUUCAAAAAGUCAAAUGGGGGAUUGGCAUGUCCAAAUUUUAAAUUGUAUCACUGGGCAUUUGUAUUAAAAAGUCGUAGCUAUUGGAUGGAGGAGGAUAAAGUUUCGUCAUGGAAAAAUAUAGAACAAGAACUAAUAGCACCAAUAAGGUUGAAGGACUCUCUCCUUAUAGUUAUGUCUACAAAAAAUGUGAUUUGUAUUACGGUCCAAUUUUAACCCAUAUGCUACAAGUGUUUAGAGCAGCAGAAAAAUUCCUAAAAUUUAAAAGCUUAUGGUGCAAAUCAUCUCCAUUAUGGAACAAUAAUCAUUUUCUAUCUGGGGGAAACCAUUCACUAACAGAACUUGGGAGGAUAAAGGUAUUGCUACUCUUCAAGAUAUUAAUGGGGCAAGUUCUAUCCUUAGCUUUCAAGAACUGGUAUCUCAAUAUAAUAUUGAUAAACACUCUCUUUUCUUCUACUUUAGAGUAAGGUCAGCUUGUAAAGCCUACGGCGUUCCCUGGGGGUCAGAUUUAAAGGACCAUCCCAUUUUAAGUUGGAUACAGGGUGCUCCAGGGCAGAUAGUGUCAUAUAUCUAUGAUAAAGUAAACUCCCAGAAUUAUAUGCCUACAUCAGGAGUGAAAGCCUGGGAUAGGGAGGUAUCUGAAUUGGGACAAGACUUGGACUGGGAUGCGAUUUGGGAUAAUGUUGCCGAUGCUUCGAAGAAUCCAAAUCAUCGGUAUGUAAAAUUGAAAUUUUGUCAUAAAGCAUAUUUAACACCGAGAAUUAGACAUCAAAUGGGACUGGUUCCUGACCCAUGUCGCUCAUUUUGCCCUCCUGGAACAGUUGGCUCUUAUAUACAUGUUGUAUGGGAAUGUCCAGGGGUUUGUGGGGGAAGAUUAUCAGUACUCUUACAGAACUAA